GAAUACUAUAAAAUUAUCAGCCUUAAAAAAGAAAGAAGCCCUGUCACAUGCUGCAAUAUAGAUGAACCUUGAAAACAUUACACUAAUUGAAAUCAGCCCAUCACACAAAGACAAAUGCUGUACAAUUUCUCUUACAUUAGGUUCGAAAUUAGUCAAACUCAUAGAAACAGAAAAUAGAGCGGUUGUUUCCAUAAGCCAGGGGAUAGAGAAAUGGGGAGUUGUUGUAUAGUGGCUAUAGUUUCAGUUCUCCAAGAGAAGCAAGUUCUAGAAACUUGUUACUCAACAUGUAUAUUUUUAACACUACUGCACUGUAUACUUACAAGUGGCUAAUAUGGUAAAUUUUAUGUUGUGCCUUAUCACCAUAAUGUUUUUAAAAGAAGGGGUUUGUGUUUCCCUUCGUUGUGAUCACCCAUUUUUCACUUCAGCAUUUUGAACUUGAGAUUUCCUGUAGCGGUUUUACUGAGCCCUGCAGUUACCGGCUCAGAAUGUCUCCACCGCCUUGUAACCUUGUAGGCAGACACUUUUCAGCAUCUUAUUGGGCUCCGUGUGCUUGAUGCUUAAAGUGACAUGGAGACAUGCCACUUGCUGAGAAGCAAAGAAAGGCAAAAGGUGUUUUUCACAGGGCCAGUGGAUUUCACAAUGUGAGUGCUGUCCAGCACCAAAGGGAAUGGCCAACAGGCAUGGAGCAGCCUACAGCGUCCAGCACCCAGUAGGAUGGCCAGGAGGCACGGAGCAGCCUGCCUGUCCCAGGAAAGCAGGAGUCACAGGACACAACUGGACCCAGUGUAUCUUUUCUAUGCAUUGGGCACUGGGAGACGACGUGUUGUCAUCUCAACAGAGACCUGGCCUUCAGACGCCACCACUCACUGCCGCUCUGUCCAGGCGAGCAUCAACUUGCACUGUUUCAGAAGCAAAAGGAAAAUGAACCGCAGCCACUGAAGUCCCUCAGAACUGAGGAAAAGUUACUGACUUUCCUGAUUUGUGUUCAGUCUGGCUGGCCAUGGGUACAGACACAGCUGGUUUCCCCAUUUGUGAGCUGGACGGAUUUAAUUCCUGGCUGUUUGAAUGAUGUAUCCCCUCAUCAGUGAAACCAACAGAGUAGCUCAACUUAAUUUUCUCUUUCUAUGGCAUGCCAUUUAUACCCAUUCAAUUAUGCCUGUGUCAAUUAAGUCAAACAUUCUUACUGUCUCUAUUUCUAAUAAAAAGUGGUAAACACUCGAAAACCCCUUUCAUAAAUAGGCAUGUAUAAAAGCAAUGUUCUUAAUAAAAAUGUUGGACUUAAUAAAAGUAUUUUAAAAAACAGUAGGAACCAUAGUAUAAUAAAGGCCUUAGCCGGGCGUGGUGG
rnacentral:lncRNA from 1 species